rnacentral:rRNA from 1 species
GAGUUUGACUCCUCGGCGUCAGAGUGAACGCUGGCGGACGACGGCCUAACACAUGCAAGUCGAACGGCAGCACAGAGGAGCUUGCUCCUUGGGUGGCGAGUGGCGGACGGGUGAGGAAUACAUCGGAAUCUGCCUAUUUGUGGGGGAUAACGUAGGGAAACUUACGCUAAUACCGCAUACGACCUACGGGUGAAAGCCGGGGACCUUCGGGCCUGGCGCAGAUAGAUGAGCCGAUGUCGGAUUAGCUAGUUGGCGGGGUAAAGGCCCACCAAGGCGACGAUCCGUAGCUGGUCUGAGAGGAUGAUCAGCCACACUGGAACUGAGACACGGUCCAGACUCCUACGGGAGGCAGCAGUGGGGAAUAUUGGACAAUGGGCGCAAGCCUGAUCCAGCCAUGCCGCGUGGGUGAAGAAGGCCUUCGGGUUGUAAAGCCCUUUUGUUGGGAAAGAAAAGCAGUCGGUUAAUACCCGAUUGUUCUGACGGUACCCAAAGAAUAAGCACCGGCUAACUUCGUA